AAUGAUGGCAGAUUUCAAAGACCGAAGCCUGGGUUCAGACUGUACUGUGUCAUUUCUUACAUCCUAUUGCCCAAAGCAAGUCACAGGUGGUGGGGAAAUAGAUGUUAUCUCUUGUUGGGAGAAGCUGCAGAGAAUUAUGGCCACUUUUUGCAGUCUUACAGAUGUUUCUUCAAAGGACGUCAAGAUCGGUCCAAUUGGUCAUGAAAAUAUGCUGCCAGGACCACAGAGAACUGCAAGUGUUAGCUUGUUGGGUUCUGUGUUUAUCUAGUUUGAGUCAUGUUACUGAUUAUGGACUACUUCUCUUGUCUUCCCCGGCUCUUCAACUCUCCUAAACUCUCUCUCUUUUGGACUCCUUGCUUCUAUCUAUAAACAAGCAUUAUUGAGGGCUGCUAGAUGAGAAGGACAUGACAACCCACUCCAGUGUUCUUGCCUGGAGAAUCUUAGGGACAGCUGAGCCUGGUAGGAGGCUGUCUAUGGGGUCGCACAGAGUCGGACACGACUGAAGCGACUUAGCAGCAGCGGCAGCAGCAGCAGAGGAAUAAAAGAUAAUUCCUUCCUUUUAAAUUGGCCUAUGACUUGGAUAUAAAAAUGGAAAAUUCAAGAAACCAUAAGGAAGUUACCUUGGACCUUAUUAUUUGUCAUUCACUCUGACUCCCAUUGCAUUUAUCUAACUCCCACACUGGACGAUGGACUUCUUAAAGGACAAAGAUCAUGUCUGCUUUGCCUACCGCGGUCUCUAACAUAUAGGAGAUUUAAAUAUACUAUUUCAAUUAAUGACAAAUUAACUUAGUUUAUGUCAAAAAGAUCUCUUUUUAUGAUGGCUCUAAGGUCAACUUGUUACUUCUUUAUCAAGCUGUAAUAUGUUUGCUGAUUCAACUACUAGUUAG
ensembl:lncRNA